GUUUUUAAUUUCUUUUCUUUUUCUUAUUGUGGUUCCGUUUUCGUUUUAAUAAAACAAUUAAAAGAUUAAUUUUCUUUUACUAAUUGAUUUAUGUUUACACCUUUUUUUAUGAAAUUCUGUGAAUUACAAUCAACUCAGUGAUUAGAAUUAUUAGCUGAUUUAAGCCGAUUAAACGUUUAAGUUGUUGGAUUGUUUUUAUAAGUGGAACCUUUUUGUUUUCUAUAUAUCCUGUUAACGUGAUUGUCUCUUUUGUACUAAAGUGAUUAGAUUAAUUAUAUUAUUGUUAUUAAUUGAUUGAUUGUGUUUUUUGGUCAAUCCUUUUACCUGGAUUGUCAUGUUUUUUUUGUCUACCUGAUUUUUUUGUUCCGUUUUUGAGGAUUUCAAUUGGUAAUCAGUGAGUUGGGAGACAUUUUUUUCGCCUUGUCUUGGUUAAAUGUUAUUCGCAUUUGUUGCUUGGUGUUACAAUGGUGUUUCUGGACUAAUUUUCACUAAAAUACAGAUAAUUUUUCAAUUAUCUAUUAAAAUUGGGUGAUAUUGAAACAAUUAACUCUCAUCGUUAUCAUAAUUAAUGAUCAGUUGGAUAAUUACCAUUAUUAUAAACAGUUGAACUUGACAAAAUAACGUUUGCUUUUGGCAUAAAAUUUUACUCUUUUUUUCUGGAGGUCAAAAGGAUCACAAGUUGAUUUGAUUGAUUGGGAAACAAGUAAAAAUUAGAGAAUAACUUUAAUCAAUAUAUUUAAUGGUAAGUUAAUUAAUGAAGAAAAUUUUUCUAACUGUUACUUUUCUUUCACUUAAUUACAGGCUUUACCAAUGAUUAGAAUAAUCAACCAGUCAAAUCAACUGAAAUCAUCAAAUUAAGACAAACAAUCAACCCGAGGCAAAGUUUAACAUGUGUCAACAUUUGAUCAAAUUCACUGGUUGUUAUUAAUGUUCAACUACUAAAAUCAAAUGAAUUAACUGAUUUGAUUGUGUAACGGUAAUGAAGGAGAAGAGUUAAAUCAAAAUGGUUACACUUUAAUUACCAUUCUUUGAUCAUCAUUAAGAUCAUCAACUGUUGAUUACUUUGAUGUGUUCAUUUGUCUUUCCCAUUACAACAGUUUAAAUUGAUUUCCAAUCAUCAAUUGAAUAAGUUUAUUGUGAUAAUACAAUUUAAUCAGAUAAUUCACAAUUAACCACAACUGUUCACUAUUUAAAUUGUUGUAAUCAUUAGCACAAUCAUCUUAUUCAUAAUCAGUUAAUACUAUUGUUAUUCAUUUAAUUGAUUUGUUGAAUCAAAUUGCCGAUUUAUGAUUGAGAAAAAAAAAGAGGAAAGAAAAUGUUCAAAUUAAUCUUAAUUGUUGUAAAACUUGAUUCUGUUUGAUUAGUACGAAACAAAUUAACGUCUAUUUUAACCAAAA